UACGGAGGGAGCUAGCGUUGUUCGGAAUUACUGGGCGUAAAGCGCACGUAGGCGGCGAUUUAAGUCAGAGGUGAAAGCCCCGGGGCUCAACCCCCGGAACUGCCUUUGAGACUGGAUUGCUAGAAUCUUGGAGAGGCGAGUGGAAUUCCGAGUGUAGAGGUGAAAUUCGUAGAUAUUCGGAAGAACACCAGUGGCGAAGGCGGCUCGCUGGACAAGUAUUGACGCUGAGGUGCGAAAGCGUGGGGAGCAAACAGGAUUAGAUACCCCGGUAGU
rnacentral:rRNA from 1 species